GGAUUUUUGGACUUUGUCAGCCGGACAGCUGAACUUAACAAUAUUACUGUAAAGAGUUUGUGAAUCUGUGGAGAACUGACAGCUGUCUGACAGCAGAGCAGCAUCUCCAGCCUGAAACGAGGGCUGCCAGUGACGCUGGGUGAACCCAAAGACUGGGUUGGUCUUUGACUUGGCCAAGACGGAGACAAGUCCAAAUACAUACUGAGUCCAAGACAAGCCCUAGAUAAAAGGGAAAAUGUCUCGAGACUAGAAUGAGAACCAAGAAUGGCACUGCCCAAAUCAAGGAGAAUUUUUUUCGUCGUGUGUGUUUAUGCAAGUAGAUUCCUGAAUCUUUUAUGUCCAACCAUAGACUGUAUACUAUAGAUGUAGCCACUGUGAUGUCACCCAUUGGUUUGUGGACUUCUCGACUCCUCGACAGCACAUUGGCCAUUGCGAUCUUGCUGUUUUGGAAGCAGAAGUGAUCAUAAAGUGGACGAGAGGGUGGAGCUGGGGAGGGAUACUCAUUGCUACUCAUUAAGAAAGUAUUUACUGAGGUGUCAUAUUACCAUAAUGGCUUCUUGUGACGGUGAUGUACUAAGCUGAAGUAUGGAAAUGCAAUAUGCCACAGCACACAUUAUGAGAGCUGAAUGCAUUAGAUGUCAUUUGUGUGAGUAUACGGCUGUAUGGUCAUUAUGUGUUAAACUGUGGGAAACAGGGGGGUGGGGGAGUUGGUAAACUAUAUUCCAGUUACAGUGAGGUUCGGGUAUUCUGUAGCUCGCAUGCAAAGAGGAGUGAGAAUUAACAGGGAAAUGAAUAUAUGGAAUGAAAAUGGCCUCUUGUCAUUCUUUUCUUGCAUACCUACAAUAUUUACUGCAGCACAACUGUGGCGUGAUUAGACACUGAACUGACUGAGUUUGGUCUGCGUGCGAUGGCGUACACCUUCAUGCUAAUCUGUUCAUAAUAGUUUCUUUUAGUUGCAGGGAUGGUAAUACCUAUUUGUAGGUCACUCUGUCCACCACUUUGGUCCAGACUGAAAUAUCGCCAAAAACUAUUGGAUGAAUUGCCACGAUAUUUUGUACAGACAAACUUUUCUUCCAGUGCCACCAUGAAGUUAGGCUUAAUUUAGGGGUAAAAUGUCACAACUAGAAAGAUUGCCAUGAAAUGUGGUUCGCACAUUCAUGUUUUCUUAUAACCAGCAGCUGUCAGACCAGAUGCUCUAAAUAGAGAAUCUUCAGUGUCCUCAAAGUGUGAACUUGGCAAAAUUGCAUUUUCAUACUACUGUAUCAGUUCAACCAAACAACAUUAUCUGCCUCUGUAUUCAGAGAGAAGACCGGAAGUAGGCAUGGUUAAUAAGGAAGUCACAUUAAAUUGUGCUAAUAUUAAUUGCCAAUGGUUUUGC